rnacentral:lncRNA from 1 species
ACAUUAUCUAUUCAAUAGAAGCUAGACCAGUUUCAAUGAAUUUCAGACUUUUCCGAAUAAGUUUGUGUACAUUAGGGUUUAUGUUUAAGGAGAUAUCAGGAGAGUGGAUGCUCAUGGGUUUGUGAAACUUGAGUAUUUCAAAACUUCUUAAUGUUAGAGUUCAAUUCCGGAAUAACAAUAUUUUCUGCCAAAAAUAUUUCAGGACUAUAAAUAGAUUUCUGAACUAAAUUCAUUCAUUAUUCACAUUUCCAACUAGAGAAAAGCCAUUUUCUCUCUCACGGAUCUUCAGGUUUUCAUCCCAAAUCGUGAGUACACUUCUCUAGUUGUUUUAUAAUGCUUGUUAUAUGCUUAAUAACAUAGAUUACAUGUCAAAUAUGUGAGAUCCGGGAGUUUACCGCCCAAGAACGUUCUUGGGGAGUAAACUCCAAAAAGAGGCUUAAGAGCUAUCUAGUCCCAUUUCCUUGAUAAGUGACUAACUUAGGCUUGUAUGUAAGUAAAUUAGAGACUAGAAAACAAUCAAAAACACCAAGCUUUGGGUGUUUACGGCCCAAGAGUUUCUUGGACCGUGAACACCAAAUUCAAGGGCCUAAAGGUGCCCUAAUCACUCCUAAGGCUUUAGACUUUAAUACCCAUUUAAUCCUAGCUAAUUUAUGGACUUCAAAACAUCAAAAGCACCCCUUAAAGGGAGUUUACGGCCAAGAGAAUACUCAUAGGCCGUAAACACCAAAUAAGGGCACCAAAGNCUAGAGACUAGAAAACAAUCAAAAACACCAAAAUUUGGGUGUUUACGGCCCAAGAGUUUCUUGGACCGUGAACACCAAAUUCAAGGGCCUAAAGGUGCCCUAAUCACUCCUAAGGCUUUAGACUUUAAUACCCAUUUAAUCCUAGCUAAUUUAUGGACUUCAAAACAUCAAAAGCACCCCUUAAAGGGAGUUUACGGCCAAGAGAAUACUUUUAGGCCGUAAACACCAAAUAAGGGCACCAAAGUGUGCCUAGGGUCCUUAUUAGCCUUAAACAAAUGCCUAGAAAUUAUCCUACUUGUGUUUGGAACUUGAAAGAAUAAAAUUACCCAUCCCUUGAGAGUUUACGGAUGUAAACACCAAAAGAAAUGGUCUUUUGGCCGAAAACUCCUUCAAGGAGUGUAUUAAGUCCCUAAACUACCCAAAGGAUUAAACAAACAAGUUAGGCUUAUUCUAGAAAUUAAAUAACACUUCAAAACACCAAUUACCACCAAGAUUGGAGUUCAUGGCCGUAAACUCAAGGGUUUAUGACCGUAAACUCCUUGUCGGGGGUUUAUUGAGUAGUAAACACUUAUAUAAGGCCCUUUGGUACAUUAAACCCCUUUAGCCUUGUCCCAUAACAACCUAGAAGCAACCCUUAGGACCUAUAACACUUAUACAA